UGUGCCCAAACCGGCCGAUGCCCACCACCCGCCGCAGAUCGAUUCGCCGCCCGCCCCCCGCCCCAACCGGCGUCGCCCGCCCCGCGCCGUCCGCACCCCGUUCCAAUUGACGCUGCCGCCACCACGCCGCCCGCACCCCGCCCCAACCUGCCCCGCCGCAAUCGGCGCCGCCGCCCCCAUGCUGCCCCAACUAGCGCCGCCGGUGCCUGGCAACCCUGCACGCCACCGGUCACCUCCCUCGCGGCCACCUCCCCUCCUCCCAAACGGCGGUGAGGCCCCCUCCCCUCCUCCCCAAUGACGGCCUCCUUCGUUGCCUGGUAGAUGCAAGAUUUGGGGCGGCGCCUGGCCAACGCGCGCCUCCGCCUUGCCCUGCCACCUCAGUCUCCUCCCGGUGGUGCUCCUCCACCGACGGAUCGCCCUGGAUCCGGUGACGAGCUCGUGACCCACACACCGCUGUCGGCACAGCGGAGAGGGGCCACCGCCUCCUGAUGCUUCUCUCUCCCCUCACCUCAUCCCACUGUCCUCAAGAGAGGCGCAACGAUAUAGAGGGAUCGGCGUUGAACAAAUCCUGCUGUAUGCCACGUUCAACGAGAGCGACUACUACAGUUCGCCCUACUUAACCAAGGCGUUUAAAAGCAGAUGAUGCCCUAUAGUAAAUGCUUUCUUUGUUGUUAUACUCCAUCCGUACUAGCUUGAAUCUGAACAAUUUCAUACAAAUGGUCAUUUUGCAAGUUACUGAGCA